CAGUGCGGGCGCGCUCCAUACCGCCGUCGCUGGUCGGCAGCGUGGCCGUGCUCGCGGUCGGCACCAGCCUGGAAUGGCUGGCGCGCAGGCUGGCUAAGAACGCUGCGGUCGCAGCCGGCAAGGCUCUGAUCGGGCAAUCGGCACAGCCGAUGAGCCGCAUGCAAUCACCCCCGGAAGACGUCACGGUCAACGAAAUGCUCUACGUCAGGAAGGUUCAGCUCCGCCGCUAGCCGGUCACUGCACGUGGCUGUGGGUCUUCAGUGGAGGGCCCGUUGGCGUCCCUCGCAAGGAUUGCGGCCUGGCCGGGCGGCGUAGCCAUCCUCAUCGCGUUGAUCAGCGCCAUCGUGCCUUCGACCCAACCAGCCACUGCCGAUCAGCUCCUGAGCAACGGAGGCUUCGAAAGCGGCAUAACCGGUUGGUCGGCACUCCAACUCACCUCUUCCGGCCAAUGUGCCCGGACAGGGACUUCGGGCGGACUACUGUCCGUGGCGAGCGGCUCGGAAGUGGUUCGUCAGAACGUCGCACCGGCAAGCCUUGGUGCCUACGUCCUCCGUGGCUUCGUGAAGCUGGGGCCUGCAGCCCCCGUGUCGCCCGGCCCGAAACUCACCGCGACUCUCGAAUCGCGUAACACUGCUGGGACGGUGCUCCACAGAGUCUCGAAUGGUGGCGUGACGACAGCAGGAUCAUCGUGGACCGCUUUCUCCGUUGAGAUGCCACCGGAAACCGAUCCAGCUACACACCUUAUCCGAGUUCAAAUCGACGUCGUAGCGACCUCCCAGGCCGCCACCAGCGCCUGCAUCGACGACCUCACGCU
rnacentral:misc_RNA from 1 species